GGGUUGUGAGGUUAAGCGACUAAGCGUACACGGUGGAUGCCCUGGCAGUCAGAGGCGAUGAAGGACGUGCUAAUCUGCGAUAAGCGUCGGUAAGGUGAUAUGAACCGUUAUAACCGGCGAUUUCCGAAUGGGGAAACCCAGUGUGAUUCGUCACACUAUCAUUAACUGAAUCCAUAGGUUAAUGAGGCGAACCGGGGGAACUGAAACAUCUAAGUACCCCGAGGAAAAGAAAUCAACCGAGAUUCCCCCAGUAGCGGCGAGCGAACGGGGAGCAGCCCAGAGCCUGAAUCAGUGUGUGUGUUAGUGGAAGCGUCUGGAAAGGCGCGCGAUACAGGGUGACAGCCCCGUACACAAAAAUGCACAUGCUGUGAGCUCGAUGAGUAGGGCGGGACACGUGGUAUCCUGUCUGAAUAUGGGGGGACCAUCCUCCAAGGCUAAAUACUCCUGACUGACCGAUAGUGAACCAGUACCGUGAGGGAAAGGCGAAAAGAACCCCGGCGAGGGGAGUGAAAAAGAACCUGAAACCGUGUACGUACAAGCAGUGGGAGCACGCUUAGGCGUGUGACUGCGUACCUUUUGUAUAAUGGGUCAGCGACUUAUAUUCUGUAGCAAGGUUAACCGAAUAGGGGAGCCGAAGGGAAACCGAGUCUUAACUGGGCGUUAAGUUGCAGGGUAUAGACCCGAAACCCGGUGAUCUAGCCAUGGGCAGGUUGAAGGUUGGGUAACACUAACUGGAGGACCGAACCGACUAAUGUUGAAAAAUUAGCGGAUGACUUGUGGCUGGGGGUGAAAGGCCAAUCAAACCGGGAGAUAGCUGGUUCUCCCCGAAAGCUAUUUAGGUAGCGCCUCGUGAAUUCAUCUCCGGGGGUAGAGCACUGUUUCGGCAAGGGGGUCAUCCCGACUUACCAACCCGAUGCAAACUGCGAAUACCGGAGAAUGUUAUCACGGGAGACACACGGCGGGUGCUAACGUCCGUCGUGAAGAGGGAAACAACCCAGACCGCCAGCUAAGGUCCCAAAGUCAUGGUUAAGUGGGAAACGAUGUGGGAAGGCCCAGACAGCCAGGAUGUUGGCUUAGAAGCAGCCAUCAUUUAAAGAAAGCGUAAUAGCUCACUGGUCGAGUCGGCCUGCGCGGAAGAUGUAACGGGGCUAAACCAUGCACCGAAGCUGCGGCAGCGACGCUGAUGCGUUGUUGGGUAGGGGAGCGUUCUGUAAGCCUGCGAAGGUGUGCUGUGAGGCAUGCUGGAGGUAUCAGAAGUGCGAAUGCUGACAUAAGUAACGAUAAAGCGGGUGAAAAGCCCGCUCGCCGGAAGACCAAGGGUUCCUGUCCAACGUUAAUCGGGGCAGGGUGAGUCGACCCCUAAGGCGAGGCCGAAAGGCGUAGUCGAUGGGAAACAGGUUAAUAUUCCUGUACUUGGUGUUACUGCGAAGGGGGGACGGAGAAGGCUAUGUUGGCCGGGCGACGGUUGUCCCGGUUUAAGCGUGUAGGCUGGUUUUCCAGGCAAAUCCGGAAAAUCAAGGCUGAGGCGUGAUGACGAGGCACUACGGUGCUGAAGCAACAAAUGCCCUGCUUCCAGGAAAAGCCUCUAAGCAUCAGGUAACAUCAAAUCGUACCCCAAACCGACACAGGUGGUCAGGUAGAGAAUACCAAGGCGCUUGAGAGAACUCGGGUGAAGGAACUAGGCAAAAUGGUGCCGUAACUUCGGGAGAAGGCACGCUGAUAUGUAGGUGAAGCGACUUGCUCGUGGAGCUGAAAUCAGUCGAAGAUACCAGCUGGCUGCAACUGUUUAUUAAAAACACAGCACUGUGCAAACACGAAAGUGGACGUAUACGGUGUGACGCCUGCCCGGUGCCGGAAGGUUAAUUGAUGGGGUUAGCGCAAGCGAAGCUCUUGAUCGAAGCCCCGGUAAACGGCGGCCGUAACUAUAACGGUCCUAAGGUAGCGAAAUUCCUUGUCGGGUAAGUUCCGACCUGCACGAAUGGCGUAAUGAUGGCCAGGCUGUCUCCACCCGAGACUCAGUGAAAUUGAACUCGCUGUGAAGAUGCAGUGUACCCGCGGCAAGACGGAAAGACCCCGUGAACCUUUACUAUAGCUUGACACUGAACAUUGAGCCUUGAUGUGUAGGAUAGGUGGGAGGCUUUGAAGUGUGGACGCCAGUCUGCAUGGAGCCGACCUUGAAAUACCACCCUUUAAUGUUUGAUGUUCUAACGUUGACCCGUAAUCCGGGUUGCGGACAGUGUCUGGUGGGUAGUUUGACUGGGGCGGUCUCCUCCUAAAGAGUAACGGAGGAGCACGAAGGUUGGCUAAUCCUGGUCGGACAUCAGGAGGUUAGUGCAAUGGCAUAAGCCAGCUUGACUGCGAGCGUGACGGCGCGAGCAGGUGCGAAAGCAGGUCAUAGUGAUCCGGUGGUUCUGAAUGGAAGGGCCAUCGCUCAACGGAUAAAAGGUACUCCGGGGAUAACAGGCUGAUACCGCCCAAGAGUUCAUAUCGACGGCGGUGUUUGGCACCUCGAUGUCGGCUCAUCACAUCCUGGGGCUGAAGUAGGUCCCAAGGGUAUGGCUGUUCGCCAUUUAAAGUGGUACGCGAGCUGGGUUUAGAACGUCGUGAGACAGUUCGGUCCCUAUCUGCCGUGGGCGCUGGAGAACUGAGGGGGGCUGCUCCUAGUACGAGAGGACCGGAGUGGACGCAUCACUGGUGUUCGGGUUGUCAUGCCAAUGGCACUGCCCGGUAGCUAAAUGCGGAAGAGAUAAGUGCUGAAAGCAUCUAAGCACGAAACUUGCCCCGAGAUGAGUUCUCCCUGACUCCUUGAGAGUCCUGAAGGAACGUUGAAGACGACGACGUUGAUAGGCCGGGUGUGUAAGCGCAGCGAUGCGUUGAGCUAACCGGUACUAAUGAACCGUGAGGCUUAACCUUACAACGCCGAAGGUGUUU
rnacentral:rRNA from 2 species